rnacentral:rRNA from 1 species
CAUCUAGGCGGUCAAUCAAGUCGAAGGUGAAAACUUGUGGCUCAACCAUAAGCUUGCCUACGAAACUGAUUAACUAGAGUACUGGAGAGGUGGACGGAACUACACGAGUAGAGGCGAAAUUCGUAGAUAUGUGUAGGAAUGCCGAUGAUGAAGAUAGUUCACUGGACAGAAACUGACGCUGAAGUGCGAAAGCUAGGGGAGCAAACA